UGGAGAGUUUGAUCCUGGCUCAGGACGAACGCUGGCGGCGUGCCUAAUACAUGCAAGUCGAGCGGASYURAUSGRGWGCUUGCWCYYSWKWMRSUUAGCGGCGGACGGGUGAGUAACACGUAGGCAACCUGCCCGUAAGACCGGGAUAACUACCGGAAACGGUAGCUAAUACCGGAUAAUCAAGYYUYYCGCAUGRGAGGCUUGGGAAAGGCGGUUCUGAAUUUAUUCAGGGCUGUCACUUACGGAUGGGCCUGCGGCGCAUUAGCUAGUUGGUGGGGUAACGGCUCACCAAGGCGACGAUGCGUAGCCGACCUGAGAGGGUGAACGGCCACACUGGGACUGAGACACGGCCCAGACUCCUACGGGAGGCAGCAGUAGGGAAUCUUCCGCAAUGGACGAAAGUCUGACGGAGCAACGCCGCGUGAGUGAUGAAGGUUUUCGGAUCGUAAAGCUCUGUUGCCAGGGAAGAACGUCUUCUGGAGUAACUGCCAGGAGAGUGACGGUACCUGAGAAGAAAGCCCCGGCUAACUACGUGCCAGCAGCCGCGGUA
rnacentral:rRNA from 1 species